rnacentral:ncRNA from 1 species
UGAUAGCGUAGAAGCGGAGGUUGCCGCCUAGUAUUCAGGCGGGUUUUUCGUGGAGCGAAUGUCAAUUAAAGAUAACUGGCGACAA